GCUUUUCGGUGCGCGCGACCUUGUGGAAGCGCUUUUGCGCGUGGGAAGGGCGCGUUCCUGGUGCGAACAGACUGAAGUACUGCUGUGGGCGAUCUCUGGUGGUGCUCAGUACGAAAGGCGCCCCGCUCAGCUUUUAGAAGUUGGAUUGCCGUUAAUGCCCGCUGUUCUGCUUCAGCCCCUGCCGUCCCCCUGUCCCAAUAGGGUCUCGGAGCCCUCCCUUCCUUUGCCCCACUGGGCUUUUCUCGUGCUUUGCAUCCUCUGAGGUUCCAGGCGGGCGCGGCGGCUCGCGGUUCAGCUGCCGCCUGCGCUGCGCCGUUGGUGUUAGAGCCGGGUGAAAGGCAAAGCCCAGCGCUCACCGAAGCGAAGUUCACCUCCUCUCCGCUCUGAUCCUGAGCUCCAUGGUACCUGAUUUAAACUGUCAUCACUUCGUUGAGCUGUAGGGGCCCCAGUGACCUGACCCAGUUGCACUUUAGAGGUGGCUGCCUUUUAAUUAUUUUGGUGCUGUUUGUGAAGAACUGGAUAAAGACACACACAGCAUCUCUGGUGGUAGAGAAAUAUUGUGGAUUAAGGACAUGACAGUGGAAGCCCUCAUCCUUCAAGCUGAAGACCGCUCAGAGCUCCUCAUAACAAGACAGAAAUUUUUAAUGCUGUGGAACUAUCAAUAUAUCAGAAACUGCCAAUGGAGAUGGGCUGAGAAACCAAGAUCAGACAUAGCUGUUGCCUCUGUAGGCAGAUGACCAUGACUACCCAGAGAGCAAUAUAGAGCUGGAUUGUUCAAGUCCAGGGAAUUGCUGAUGAGAUCGAGCCCACCUGGAGCAAGUGAGAACCUGAUUGUGAGGGGCCUGAUGAUAAUCCUUGGACAAGCACUCUUCUCCUCAAGCCUGGCGUGAACUCAGAAAUCUGCUGCUGAGCUGGGACCGCUUUGCCUCGCCAUUAAGCAAAACUGGAGCAGAGUUGAGCCCUGUAUCGAAGCUCGCUUAUCCCCAAGGUGAUGCGCCUCAAUUCUGCGCGGAUCAUGCCCAGCACCUUCCUGAGAAAAGAUUUCUGUGAGACUUCAGCCUGCAGAACACUGUUUGUAUCUUCUGUAUGCAGAGAUUUUUGGGACUCAUUAGAGAGUUUUUGCCCUGAGAAAGAACUGAUUUGAGACUUUCGCAAGGCAGAUAAUGAAACAUAAUCACCAUGGGAAUCGGUUUGUCGGAGCUGGAGAAAGCAAUUCAGCAGAGCAAGACAGAUUUUCCUUUUGAUUACUCAAGGCUGCCAUAUCUCCAGGAUCUGCGUAUCCUUUCUAGUUAAUUGAGCUCACUAAUUUCUUCCCUUUCUUUGGAGUAAGAGGUAAUGUGUUAAAAUUUUUCACCAAUUUUUUUUUUUUUUUUGGUAAACUGAAAGAAAUCUCAUCCUGCUUUCAGGUUUUCUGAUGUUCAAGCAAACAAACAUAAAAUGAAAAUCCACUUUGAUUCCAAAGCUCUAUUAAACAUAACCAGCAAAUAUCAGCUAGUAACUUCAAAAGGAUGUGGGACCAAGAGAGUAGUUUUCUUCUGCUCCCCCACUGGCAUCAGAGCUCCCAGCUUGUGCAGCAAUCUAAGCCUUUCCAAUGUGUACUGUGAAACACUACAGGAAAGAAAUGGAAGAGGUUUAUGGUACAAAGAGGGCCAGCAUGGUGAAAUCAAACAUUCACAGCGAAUGGAAAAGCCCACAUGAACAGAAGAAGAAAGUCAGUAGUCUUGGAUGAUUCUUACUCCAUGUCUCUUUUUGAGUCCAUCAGGAUAUCUAGUGUGGUGGUAAGACACAAAUUGAGAAAUGAGUCUGUCAGCAAAGCCUAAUGGCUGAUGUCCCGAAGGAAGAGCUGCUUGACUGUGAGUGCUGUGGUCAAAGUGGCUGGACAAAAUACAGGAGCCUCUAUAUCCUGUGUUAAAAAGAGAAAUGAAGUUUUGUAUGGGUGUCUGCAAAGCAAUCCUGCUUACCCUACAACAGGUGUUCUCCCCAGGCUUGGGAAGAAGCUUUCCAGGGAAGAUGGCAUCGUGCUUGUUGUUCCAGCACUCGCUCCAUCAGGAUGCAGCCCUCAGUUGUCCACUGCUCCUCACUGUACGUGGAGUUGAGUGUCUGAAUGUCAUAUGAAACCGAUUCAGUGAAUUUUCACUCAUCACAAUCCUUGAAUUUCAACAAACAUCUGUACAGUGUUUUCUAUGGUCCAAGGAAUACUGCAGUGAAAAUACCGUUUCCCAAACUUGGGUGAUCCGCUAAAGUUUGCAAGUCCAGUUCAUGUCACAGUGUGACAAGGGACCAUUAUAAUUUUUAAUUAAAAACUGUAUCCUUUCAUAAUGUCUUCAGCUCUUUCAGAUGGCUGUCAGAAAGCAACAUGAGUCAGGCUCCAUGGGGAAUGGGGCAUCACAUCCUGACCUUGGCGCAUAGACAUUUUUAUUUCAGACAUCACACAAACAGCACUCUGGUGCGAAAAGCAGUGGGCAGACACUGCCUGGUAAUGGAUGGCAGGCUGGAGAGGGAGCAGUUCCCAAUUCACAGAGCUGCCACGCUUUCCCAGACCAGUCUAUUACUUGUGAUAAUAUUGUGCUCAAAAUCUCUACUGGAAAAAAGAAUUCCCCAGACAACUGCAGACUGGAAGAUACUUUCUCAUUACCCACCAGAAACUAUGAGCAAACUCGCCCAUAUUCAAAAGAAAGCCCAGAAAUGCAUAUCGUUUGUAUGCCAUAGCAAGUCCAUGUAUUUUUCUUUUCAUCCAGAGCUAAAGAGAUAAAUGUUUUGCUUUUGUGUCUCAUUUCCUGUCUGUACCUAUUAGAGCUAGAUGUUAGAAGUAACUGUAAAACAAGAGGAGACUGCUUUUUUUGUUUGUUUGUUUGUUUUUAAAGCAGGAUUUUGAAAAAGAGAUACCUAGUAAUAAUCAUGUCCAAACUUGCAGAAAUGUCAAAAUCAUGUCCUUGCAAGUCUGAAGAAUUGUUAAGGGACUGUUUUCUGGGGAUCAGACAGAAAAAUGUCAGCCAAAUUCACUGAUGUCUCCUGAUGGCUUAAUGUUAUUUUAAGCGGUAAAAUUCCCAUUAGUUUAAAUGGAAAUAUGCACAGCUUUUAAAUCAGGACAGCUAUAUGUUCCAUGUACAUUUCCAUUUACUAUGUAUUUGCAUCAUUGCAAACGUCUGAGCAAAAAUUUGUGGCCGUGUUCUGUCCCUGCACUUCUACAGUCAGCCCAUGCUGUUCCCCAGGCAUGUCUUUCCUGAAGCUCUGCCUGAAGCAUCUGUGAUUCUUCAGACCUUGGGACUCCAUCGCUCACUUUCCUUAGGAGGUUGUGCCACAGUUUAGUACAUAUUGCUAACAUAUUAUUUUACUUCCAGCACUAACCCAAAAUUUUAUUUACAUGAAUUGAAUUCUGUUCUUUUCAAAUCAUUUUCUUUUUUUUCUUCAAUGGUGUUUCAUGAAGGUGUUCUUUUUUUUAUUCCAGAUAAGGUCAAACUUUUAUUUGCAACUAGAACACAGUAUCAUUCCUUAGCUGGAGGGAGCUCAUCUGAAACAGUUACGAGUUCUGGGAUGAAAUUUGUUUAGAAUCUUUUCAGGAGCUUGGAUGCACUUUCACUAAAACUGAUGGAUGCUCGUGUCUCCGACUUUGCUGUGGAAGCUUCAGCUGUAAAUCACAAAUGUGGUCUCAAUACACAGGCUUAAUUACAUUCUGAUUUGGGGAGCAACAUAUUUAAAUUGGUACUCUGCAGGUUGAUGUUUCUACAGAGACACCAUCAGCACGCAAUCUCCAGCUUCAUCCUGCACCCUUUACUCUUUAUCGUCGAUCCUUCAUCUCACCCCUGCCACUGCAUCCCGCAUAGCGAUGUGAUAUCUACAGCCAUCUGGGCUUGCAGUGGGACAUCACCGGGGACAUUACUGUAUGGGUGAGUUAAGUCCCAAGGCCUUGGGGUAGCUGUCAAACGCUACGGCUUGCCUUAACGAAGCUUGGCUGUGCUAACAAAGCAAUGAUCUCCACAUGAUGCGAUGCAGCUGGGGCUGCCCGGGCACAGCUGCGCUUUGUUUGGAGCUCAGGGCAGGGCCAGCCCCCAAAGCCUCUUAAACCCACCGGAGGCUGCUGGGAGCUAUUG